rnacentral:lncRNA from 1 species
GAUGGUGUCUGGUACAAAGAUCGGAUGAGGUUCAUCUACAGAACUAAGGUUUUGGGGAGCUGGAAUGGACGAACUCCUAGAACUGCUAGAGGAGGAAGUGCUGGAGGAUAUUUUGAAUUGAGUAAAAACCCUAAAAAAGUUGAGAAAAAUAAGAAACAGGAUGUUCGUGGAAAACUGAACAGGUGGAAUGUAAAGGAAGAAAAAUGGAAGAAGAAUAGCAAGAGAAAAAAAAGAGGGAAGUUCUGGAACUAACCUAGGCUGGUCCGAAGGAUGCCGAGAUGCAGAGAUGGGGAUGACUCGAAGAACGCCUA